rnacentral:rRNA from 1 species
AUUGAACGCUGGCGGCAUGCCUAACACAUGCAAGUCGAACGAGUGGCGGACGGGUGAGCAAUGUCUGGGAAACUGCCUGACGGAGGGGGAUAACUACUGGAAACGGUAGCUAAUACCGCAUACCAUCGGAUGUGCCCAGAGGGGAUUAGCUAGUAGGUGGGGUAAAGGCUCACAUAGGCGACGAUCCCUAGCUGGUCUGAGAGGAUGACCAGCCACACUGGAACUGAGACACGGUCCAGACUCCUACGGGAGGCAGCAGUGGGGAAUAUUGCGCAAUGGGCGCAAGCCUGAUGGAGCAAUGCCGCGUGUGUGAAGAAGGCCUUCGGAUUGUAAAGCACUUUCAGCGAGGAAGCGUUACUCGCAGAAGAAGCACCGACUAACUACGUGCCAGCAGCCGCGGUAAUUC